rnacentral:rRNA from 1 species
UGGGCGUUAAGUUGCAGGGUAUAGACCCGAAACCCGGUGAUCUAGCCAUGGGCAGGUUGAAGGUUGGGUAACACUAACUGGAGGACCGAACCGACUAAUGUUGAAAAAUUAGCGGAUGACCUGUGGCUGGGGGUGAAAGGCCAAUCAAACCGGGAGAUAGCUGGUUCUCCCCGAAAGCUAUUUAGGUAGCGCCUCGUGAAUUCAUCUCCGGGGGUAGAGCACUGUUUCGGCUAGGGGGCCAUCCCGGCUUACCAACCCGAUGCAAACUGCGAAUACCGGAGAAUGUUAUCACGGGAGACACACGGCGGGUGCUAACGUCCGUCGUGAAGAGGGAAACAACCCAGACCGCCAGCUAAGGUCCCAAAGUCAUGGUUAAGUGGGAAACGAUGUGGGAAGGCCCAGACAGCCAGG